rnacentral:rRNA from 1 species
GACGAACGCUGGCGGCGCGCCUAACACAUGCAAGUCGAACGAGCGAGAGAGAGCUUGCUUUCUCAAGCGAGUGGCGAACGGGUGAGUAACGCGUGAGGAACUUGCCUCAAAGAGGGGGACAACAGUUGGAAACGACUGCUAAUACCGCAUAAGCCCACAGGUCGGCAUCGACCAGAGGGAAAAGGAGCAAUCCGCUUUGAGAUGGCCUCGCGUCCGAUUAGCUAGUUGGUGAGGUAACGGCCCACCAAGGCAACGAUCGGUAGCCGGACUGAGAGGUUGAACGGCCACAUUGGGACUGAGACACGGCCCAGACUCCUACGGGAGGCAGCAGUGGGGAAUAUUGCACAAUGGGGGAAACCCUGAUGCAGCGACGCCGCGUGGAGGAAGAAGGUCUUCGGAUUGUAAACUCCUGUUGUGGAGGAAGAUAAUGACGGUACUCAACAAGGAAGUGACGGCUAACUACGUG